AUACGGAGGGUGCAAGCGUUGUCCGGAUUUAUUGGGUUUAAAGGGUGCGUAGGCGGCCAAUUAAGUCAGUGGUGAAAUGUAUCAGCUUAACUGAUGAGGUGCCAUUGAAACUGAUUGGCUUGAGUACAGACGAGGUAGGCGGAAUUUAUGGUGUAGCGGUGAAAUGCAUAGAUACCAUAAAGAACACCGAUAGCGAAGGCAGCUUACUAGACUGUUACUGACGCUGAGGCACGAAAGCGUGGGGAGCGAACAGGAUUAGAAACCCCAGUAGUCC
rnacentral:rRNA from 1 species